CAGUAGCCGCGGUAAUGCGUAGGUGGCAAGCGUUGUCCGGAAUUAUUGGGCGUAAAGGGCUCGCAGGCGGUUUCUUAAGUCUGAUGUGAAAGCCCCCGGCUCAACCGGGGAGGGUCAUUGGAAACUGGGAAACUUGAGUGCAGAAGAGGAGAGUGGAAUUCCACGUGUAGCGGUGAAAUGCGUAGAGAUGUGGGGGAACACCAACGGCGAAAGCACUCUGCUGGGCCGACGUUGACACUGAGAGACAAACGCUAGGGGAGAAAAUGGGAUUAGAGACCCCGGUAGUCCCUGUCUCUUAUAC
rnacentral:rRNA from 1 species